CCCGGGUCUUGUACCCACCGCCCGUCACACCAUGGGAGCGGGUUCUGCCAGAAGUAGUUAGCCUAACCGCAAGGAGGGCGAUUACCACGGCAGGGUUCGUGACUGGGGUG
rnacentral:rRNA from 1 species